AAAGGACGAUGGAUUUUGUUAGUUUCAGUUCAUUCAUUAUCUUUAUUCUUCACUCUCAAAUUACGUAGUCUCCAACUGAAAGGAUUAUAAUUAAGCUAGCUAACUAAGUCAACAUAUGGCUUAUCUGAAAUGUUUGUUCUUCAUGCUUCUUCUUUUGGUGACUCUUCAGCUUGUCUUCCAAGAUAUUUUCCAAGAUGUCGAUCGAUGUUUGAUUCAUAAAUCAAAAAACUCAAAAAAUUGUGUAUUCGUGUAGACGACUUCAAGAGCUUUCCAACAAAUAGUAUAUUGUGCAGAACUAAAAAUAUCUAAAUGUCGGUAUUUUAUAUUUGUAUAUGUACUGAUAUUAAUUUUUUCAAAUGUCGAAAUUUCUUACGAUGACGACUCAUCGUUCAUUUGGUAUUUAUUCAUAUCGACAUCGGUCAGUCAGAGCAAUUAUCGGCCAAAUUUGACCAACUCAUCGGCACCAGUGUUGAAAACUCCAAGCACUCUAGCACUACUGAGCAAUAAGCCAAAUCCAGGCUACCGUAAGCCACCCACUUAUGAAGAAAAGAAGGCCAGAGCUUCCAAAGAUUUAUGCUAUUAUUGCGAUGACAAAUUCAUACCAGGCCAUCGUUGCAAGGGCCGCUAGCUACUUCCGAUUUGAUUCCGAUACGAAUUGUUUCAUUGAGAUGAGCGAGGAGGAACAGUCCCUGCCAGUAGUAGAACUCGCGGGGGAAGAGGAAGUAUUAUUAAAGGAGAAUCAGUUACAGUUAGUUAGAAGUUAACUAAAUUAGAAUCAGUUACAAUAAAUCCUAUAUAAGGAAACCGUGUAAUGAGGAAUGGAUCAUUAGUUUUCAAUACAAUUCUUUAGUUUGUAAUAUGGUAUCAGAGCGGGCGAUUUUUUUUCCAUAAACUUUGUCUCUGAUGGAGCUUGACCAAACGACGAUGCAACUUCGCCAAUGACGGAAGCGUCACGUUCCAACAAUCUCCAGAGGAUCAAAUCCCCUCCAGGUCGACGAUCGCGCCGAUCGCUCCUCCAUAUUUCUUCGUCGAUCGCGACCAUCCGCGAUCGCAACUUCCGGGUCAUCCGCGA
rnacentral:lncRNA from 1 species